UACGGAGGGUGCAAGCGUUAUCCGGAUUUACUGGGUUUAAAGGGUGCGUAGGCGGGCAGGUAAGUCAGGGGUGAAAUCUUCGAGCUUAACUCGGAAACUGCCUUUGAUACUAUCUGUCUUGAAUAUGGUGGAGGUAAGCGGAAUAUGUCAUGUAGCGGUGAAAUGCUUAGAUAUGACAUAGAACACCUAUUGCGAAGGCAGCUUACUACGCCUAUAUUGACGCUGAGGCACGAAAGCGUGGGGAUCAAACAGG
rnacentral:rRNA from 1 species